AUUGAACGCUGGCGGCAGGCUUAACACAUGCAAGUCGAGCGGAGAUGAGGUGCUUGCACCUUAUCUUAGCGGCGGACGGGUGAGUAAUGCUUAGGAAUCCGCCUAUUAGUGGGGGACAACAUUCCGAAAGGAAUGCUAAUACCGCAUACGCCCUACGGGGGAAAGCAGGGGAUCUUCGGACCUUGCGCUAAUAGAUGAGCCUAAGUCGGAUUAGCUAGUUGGUGGGGUAAAGGCCUACCAAGGCGACGAUCUGUAGCGGGUCUGAGAGGAUGGACCGCCACACUAGGACUGAAACAAGGCCCAGACUCCUACGGGAGGCAGCAGUGGGGAAUAUUGGACAAUGGGCGGAAGCCUGAUCCAGCCAUGCCGCGUGUGUGAAGAAGGCCUUUUGGUUGUAAAGCACUUUAAGCGAGGAGGAGGCUACCUGGAUUAAUACUCUAGGAUAGUGGACGUUACUCGCAGAAUAAGCACCGGCUAACUCUGUGCCAGCCGCCGCGGUAAUAC
rnacentral:rRNA from 1 species